rnacentral:rRNA from 1 species
UGAGGGAUAUUGGUCAAUGGGGGGAAACCCUGAACCAGCAACGCCGCGUGAGGGAAGACGGUUUUCGGAUUGUAAACCUCUGUCCUCUGUGAAGAUGAUGACGGUAGCAGAGGAGGAAGCUCCGGCUAACUACGUGCC